rnacentral:rRNA from 1 species
GAGGGAGCCUGAGAAACGGCUACCACAUCUAAGGAAGGCAGCAGGCGCGCAAAUAACCCAAUCCUAAUACAGGGAGGUAGUGACAAGAAAUAACAAUACAGGACUUUUUGGUUUUGUAAUUGGAAUGAGUUAAGUAUAAACCCCUUUACAAGUAUCAAUUGGAGGGCAAGUCUGGUGCCAGCAGCCGCGGUAAUUCCAGCUCCAAUAGCGUAUAUUAAAAUUGUUGCAGUUAAAAAGCUCGUAGUUGGAUUUCUGUUAAUAAUUUAUAUAAAAUAUUUUGAAUAUUUAUAUAACAUUAACAUAAUUCAUAUUACUAUAUUUUUUAGUAUAUGAAAUAUUACUUUGAGAAAAUUAGAGUGCUUAAAGCAGGCAUAUGCCUUGAAUUCUCCAGCAUGGAAAAAUAUUAAAGAUUUUUAUCUUUCUUAUUGGUUCUAAGAUAAGAAUAAUGAUUAAUAGGGACAGUUGGGGGCAUUUGUAUUUAACAGUCAGAGGUGAAAUUCUUAGAUUUGUUAAAGACA